rnacentral:misc_RNA from 1 species
CAGCGCGGUAAUUCCAGCUCCAAUAGCGUAUAUUAAAGUUGUUGCAGUUAAAAAGCUCGUAGUUGAACUUCGGGAUCAAUUAGUUGGUCAUGCCUUGGUAUGUACUGAUUUUAUUGGUUCUCACCUUCUAAAGAACUAUAAUGUCAUUUAUUUGAUGUUAUAGGGAAUUAGGACUGUUACCUUGAAAAAAUUAGAGUGUUUAAAGCAGGCUCACGCUUGAAUACAUUAGCAUGGAAUAAUGAAAUAGGACAUCGCAUUCUAUUUUGUUGGUUUCUAGGAUCGAUGUAAUGAUUAAUAGGGAUAGUUGGGGGCAUUAGUAUUCAAUUGUCAGAGGUGAAAUUCUUGGAUUUAUUGAAGACUAACUACUGCGAAAGCAUUUGCCAAGGAUGUUUUCAUUAAUCAAGAACGAAAGUUAGGGGAUCGAAGACGAUCAGAUACCGUCGUAGUCUUAACCAUAAACUAUGCCGACUAGGGAUCGGAUGAUGUUGAUUUUUUAAUGACUCAUUCGGCACCUUACG